AGGUUUUUAUGCUAUCGUUGUGAACUAUUUACGCUAUUUUGUGAACUAUUUACGCUAUUUGCGUAAAAAACAAAGCUAUAAUUUAUGGCUUGCAUCCCCCACGCGGGGGAUUUGGUGUUUGACCAGAGGUUUGAUUGACACGGGUGGGAAUGUUUGACCUAGUGCAUGGCAGCGGGACACGCCCGAGUGGCGGUCCUAGGCGAUGUUGGCGAGUGGCGGCCCGAGACGCAAGUGUCGUGGCGGCCGUGACGGCCCUAGGCGCGAGCAACGGUGGCCGUGUCUUCCCGAGGUGCGAGCGGUGGUGGCAACCGCGACCUCCCGAGGCGUGAUCGGUGGUGGUGGCGACGACGUUCCGAGGCACGAGCGGUGUUGGCUGCGGUGAACGUCUUUGGUGCAUCCAAAGACAACAAUCUCCUCCGAUGCGGCGCGUCGGAGGGCGUCCUCCUUCAACGACCACCUUCGAUCUGAUGGCGUGAUCGGUGGUGGAGGCGUCUUUGAUCUGGCGACCUCGGGAUCGUCCUCCGGUGACGAGCUAUCUGAUCCAUGUUUACGCCAUCAAUGAUUAUGGUUUAUGCCUGCUACUUACACUAUUUAUGCAUUUUAGUGACGAUUUUUACGAUGAUGAAUACAAUUUUUUUGUUUCCCAUAAAAUUGUCCCUAAUUACCACGGGGGCUGUUAGUUGAACCCAUAUUAGAUUUUUUUUAUCAAUGCUACAUGGUGUAUGUAUUUAUACGACUUUGUAUAAGAAUUUAUGCCCGCUGUGA
rnacentral:lncRNA from 1 species